CUUCAGUGAUGAUACGAUGACGAGUCGGAACGGGGCUCAGACUGCUUCUGAGGGUUCUGGUCCAGAUUCACGUUCUGUGGUUCCGCUCCAGUCCCUCAGAGCAGGGAGUCCCUUUUUGGUUGAAGACAUUGAGGCAUUUGUCUGAGAAGG
ensembl:snoRNA SNORD15 Small nucleolar RNA SNORD15